UACGUAGGUGGCAAGCGUCGUCCGGAAUUAUUGGGCGUACAGCGCGCGCAGGCGGUCUCUUAAGUCUGAUGUGAAAGCCCCCGGCUCAACCGUGGAGGGUCAUUGGAAACUGGGAGACUUGAGUACAGAAGAGGAGAGGGGAAUUCCACGUGUAGCGGUGAAAUGCGUAGAUAUGUGGAUGAACACCAGUGGCUAAGUCGACUCUCUGGUCUGUAACUGACGCUGAGGCGCGAAAGCGUGGGGAGCAAACAGG
rnacentral:misc_RNA from 1 species